rnacentral:rRNA from 1 species
UUCCCUACGGGGGGCUGCAGUGGGGAAUAUUGGGCAAUGGGGGCAACCCUGACCCAGCAACGCCGCGUGAAGGAAGAAGGUCUUCGGAUUGUAAACUUCUUUGAUCAGGGACGAAAAAAAUGACGGUACCUGAAGAACAAGCCACGGCUAACUACGUGCCAGCAGCCGCGGUAAUACGUAGGAGGCAAGCGUUAUCCGGAUUUACUGGGUGUAAAGGGCGUGUAGGCGGGUCUGCAAGUCAGAUGUGAAAUUCCCGGGCUUAAGUCGGGAGGGUCAUCUGAAACUGCGGAUCUUGAGGACUGGAGAGGAUAGUGGAAUUCCUAGUGUAGCGGUAAAAUGCGUAGAUAUUAGGAGGAACACCAGUGGCGAAGGCGGCUAUCUGGACAGUAACUGACGCUGAGGCGCGAAAGCGUGGGGAGCAAACAGGAUUAGAUACCCCUGUAGUCU